AACCAUUCUCACCUGCGGCUAGACCUGCGGAAGGAUCAUUACCGAGUUUACAACUCCCAAACCCCUGUGAACAUACCUAUACGUUGCCUCGGCGGAUCAGCCCGCGCCCUGUAAAAAGGGACGGCCCGCCCGAGGACCCUAAACUCUGUUUUUAGUGGAACUUCUGAGUAAAACAAACAAAUAAAUCAAAACUUUUAGCAAUGGAUCU
rnacentral:misc_RNA from 1 species